UCUUAUCCUUUGAAAAUUGGCAAGGGGUUUCUUUUGAUUUUUCUCCCCCAGCCACUAACCCCAACAGACUGCUUUGACACUAGAAAGCGGGGUGCACGCUUCCACAAUUCCAAGUAUACACAUGAGACGGGUAAAUAGGUCCAAAUUCUUCAUAUUUGCAGGUAUUGAUGCUUAGCCUUCAAUUAGAUUUUGGGUAAGGUAAGCAAUCAAUAUCCAGCUUAUUUUUCUAAGUACAGCAAGUGCGAACUUCUUGCUUUGUUAGUUUGAUUUUCAGUCCUUAAUAUGAACAAAGGAAAUGAAUUCCUCAAUAUUAAAUAAGAAUAAAAUUUGAAUGGCA
rnacentral:misc_RNA from 1 species